CCUACGGGAGGCAGCAGUGGGGAAUAUUGCACAAUGGGGGAAACCCUGAUGCAGCGACGCCGCGUGAAGGAAGAAGUAUCUCGGUAUGUAAACUUCUAUCAGCAGGGAAGAUAGUGACGGUACCUGACUAAGAAGCCCCGGCUAACUACGUGCCAGCAGCCGCGGUAAUACGUAGGGGGCAAGCGUUAUCCGGAUUUACUGGGUGUAAAGGGCGUGUAGCCGGGAAGGCAAGUCAGAUGUGAAAUCCACGGGCUCAACUCGUGAACUGCAUUUGAAACUGUUUUUCUUGAGUAUCGGAGAGGCAAUCGGAAUUCCUAGUGUAGCGGUGAAAUGCGUAGAUAUUAGGAGGAACACCAGUGGCGAAGGCGGAUUGCUGGACGACAACUGACGGUGAGGCGCGAAAGCGUGGGGAGCAAACAGGAUU
rnacentral:rRNA from 1 species